rnacentral:tRNA from 1 species
GCAUUGGUGGUCCGGCAGCAGAAUUCUCGCCUUCCAUGUGGGAGACCUGGGUUUGAUUCCCAGACGAUGCA